rnacentral:rRNA from 1 species
AUUGAACGCUGGCGGCAUGCCUUACACAUGCAAGUCGAACGGUAACAGGUCUUCGGAUGCUGACGAGUGGCGAACGGGUGGGUAAUACAUCGGAACGUGCCUAGUAGUGGGGGAUAACUACUCGAAAGAGUGGCUAAUACCGCAUGAGAUCUACGGAUGAAAGCAGGGGAUCGCAAGACCUUGUGCUACUAGAGCGGCCGAUGGCAGAUUAGGUAGUUGGUGGGAUAAAAGCUUACCAAGCCGACGAUCUGUAGCUGGUCUGAGAGGACGACCAGCCACACUGGGACUGGGACACGGCCCAGACUCCUACGGGAGGCAGCAGUGGGGAAUUUUGGACAAUGGGCGCAAGCCUGAUCCAGCAAUGCCGCGUGCAGGAUGAAGGCCUUCGGGUUGUAAACUGCUUUUGUACGGAACGAAAAGCCCCGGGUUAAUACCCUGGGGUCAUGACGGUACCGUAAGAAUAAGCACCGGCUAACUACGUGCCAGCAGCCGCCGUAA